UACGUAGGCAGCAAGCGUUGUUCGGAGUUACUGGGCGUAAAGGGUGCGUAGGCGGCUUUUUAAGUUUGGUGUGAAAUCUCCCGGCUCAACUGGGAGGGUGCGCCGAAUACUGAGAGGCUAGAGUGUGGGAGAGGAAAGUGGAAUUCCUGGUGUAGCGGUGAAAUGCGUAGAUAUCAGGAGGAACACCGGUGGUGUAAACGGCUUUCUGGACCAUAACUGACGUGGAGGCACGAAAGCGUGGGUAGCAAACAGG
rnacentral:rRNA from 1 species